ACUCAAAUGAAUAGACGGGGGCCCGCACAAGCGGUGGAGUAUGUGGUUUAAUUCGAAGCAACGCGCAGAACCUUACCUGGGCUUAACAUCCUUUGACAUCCGUAGAGAUACGGCCUUCCCUUCGGGGACAAAGAGAUAGGUGCUGCAUGGCUGUCGUCAGCUCGUGUCGUAAGAUGUUGGGUUAAGUCCCGCAACGAGCGCAACCCUUGUCCUUAGUUGCUACCAUUAAGUUGGGCACUCUGAGGAGACUGCCGGUGUUAAACCGGAGGAAGGCGGGGAUGACGUCAAGUCCUCAUGGCCCUUACGUCCAGGGCUACACACGUACUACAAUGGCAGAGACAAAGGGUCGCGAAGCCGCGAGGUGAAGCUAAUCCCAAAAACACUGUCUCAGUCCGGAUUGAAGUCUGCAACUCGACUUCAUGAAGCUGGAAUCGCUAGUAAUCGAAGAUCAGCACGCUUCGGUGAAUACGUUCCCGGGCCUUGCACACACCGCCCGU
rnacentral:rRNA from 1 species